CAACCCGUCUCUGUUGCAAAAGAGUGGGAAGAUUUUCAAGUAGAGGUGACAAGCCUAUCGAACUUAGAGAUAGCUGGUUGUUCAGGAAAAGAGUCCAAGCUCUACCUUAAGUUUUUUCAAUUAACCUAAACAAAAUCCUAAACUUAAGAGCUAUUCAAGUAAGGCACAGCUUACUUGAAACAGGGUACAACCUCCCACAUUGGGUAAACAAGAACAAAUUAAACAAAGUCGGCCUAAGAGCAGCCAUCUUAUAAAAAGCGUUAAAGCUUAACUUAUAUGCACUUAUAAUUCCAAUAGUUACUAUUAACCCCUCAUUACUACUGAACUAUUUUAUAACCUUAUAAAAAUUAUUAUGCUAGAACUAGUAACAUGAAUACUUUUCUCCUUAAUGUAAGCUUAAACCAUAAUGGACCAUCCACUGGUAUUUAACGUAACUGUUCUUAUUAUAGCAACAUACGUCUAGAAAACCCUAUAAUCAAUAACGUUAACCUUACACUAGAACAUUAUAGGAAAGAUUAAAAGAAAGAGAAGGAACUCGGCAAACCCCAGCCCCGCCUGUUUACCAAAAACAUCGCCUCUUGCCUAACAUAAGAGGUCCAGCCUGCCCAGUGACAUAGUUUAACGGCCGCGGUACCCUAACCGUGCGAAGGUAGCAUAAUCACUUGUUCCCUAAAUAGGGACUAGUAUCAAUGGCAUCACGAGGGCUACACUGUCUCCUCUCUCCAAUCAGUGAAACUGAUCUCCCCGUGAAGAAGCGGGGAUUUUAAUAUAAGACGAGAAGACCCCAUGGAGCUUUAAACUUAAUAUACACCUCUACCCAUCUAUACCAAUUAACCCUAAAAGUCUGUGUGUUAGUUUUAGGUUGGGGGGACCGCGGAGUACAACUCAACCUCCACGACAAACGGGCUAACGCCCUUAUCCAUGAAACACAAUUCUAAGAAUCAACAAUCUGAUGUUUUAUGACCCGACAAGUCGAUCAACGAACCAAGUUACCCUGGGGAUAACAGCGCAAUCUA
rnacentral:rRNA from 1 species